CGCGGGCAAGCAGUUGGUUUGGACGACGACGUUCUCCAAUCCUGGUAAAUCGGCUGAUAAUCCAAGACAUGGGUUCUGGAAUAUUUUACUCCUUCCAGAUUCAUAAACGUGCAAGGUCAGGACACAGCGUGACAAACAACAUUCAGAAAAGGUCGCCCAGAGAAAGUCAUCUGGGAAACUUUACUGCAGCAGGCAAGAGCAUUCUAGCCCAAAAAAGGUUUUUAAGUUCGGAAAGCAGUGAAUAAAAUAAAAAAUAAAAUGAAAAAAAAAUCUUAAAACACUCAAAGUU